CCUACGGGAGGCAGCAGCAAGGAAUAUUGUGCAAUGGGCGAAAGCCUGACACAGCGACGCCGCGUGGGGGAAGAAGGCCUUCGGGUUGUAAACCCCUUUUCUCAGGGAAGAAUAAUGACGGUACCUGAGGAAUAAGUCUCGGCUAACUACGUGCCAGCAGGCGCGGUAAU
rnacentral:rRNA from 1 species